rnacentral:rRNA from 1 species
UGAGUAACGCGUGGGCAACCUGCCCUCCAGCCCGGGAUAACUUCCGGAAACGGGAGCUAAUCCCGGAUGCGGAGCAAAGGACGCAUGUUUUUUGCUCGAAAGCUUCGGCGCUGGAGGAUGGGCCCGCGUCCCAUUAGCUAGUUGGUGAGGUAACGGCUCACCAAGGCGACGAUGGGUAGCCGGCCUGAGAGGGUGAUCGGCCACACUGGGACUGAGACACGGCCCAGACUCCUACGGGAGGCAGCAGUAGGGAAUCUUGCGCAAUGGGCGAAAGCCUGACGCAGCGACGCCGCGUGAGGGAAGAAGGCCUUCGGGUCGUAAACCUCUGUCCUUGGGGACGAUGAUGACGGUACCCAAGGAGGAAGCCCCGGCUAACUACGUGCCAGCAGCCGCGGUAAUACGUAGGGGGCGAGCGUUGUCCGGAAUCACUGGGCGUAAAGGGUGCGUAGGCGGCUUGGCAAGUCCUGUGUGAA